CUAACUCACAACCUCUCGGUUGGAAGUAGGGGAUGCUUACCAUCAGAGCAACCCCUCUUGUCUAGAGUAAUGAAGAAAGAAAGAACAAAAACAGCUUGGCUGGAAAUUGUAUAGAUGCGGCUGGAAUUGAUCUACUAUUACUUUAUGCAUUUGCUUUUUCAUACUUCCCUCUAAAGUUGACUACUGAAUUAACUCUGUUUACACCAGCUUGAUAAUGAUUGGUGACCAAGUUGAGAUGUGUCACAUUAGGUGAUAGCAACAACUGAGGAUGUAAAAUAUAACAUUUGCAGGUUCUAUCUGGCAGGAUCGCCUGAAUUCAUGAGCCAUAGAAAGGAGAGUCCCUCGCGCGAACUACUACUACUAGAAAAUGGUGAGACCAUUAGUGAAAGAAGGACCAAGGAGGAUCCUAUCCUAAAGGAGAAGGAGGAGUAGGAGGAGUCAGUUUUCUUUGAAGAUCGAGGAACGUAGUGUCGGACAAUUAUGCCAUUCGGAAGAAGUCUUCUACAGAAGAAAAGCCUGUUACGAGUAAGUGGAGAGGAAAGAUCUCCAGGAAAGAAGUCUUCUACAGAACAAAAGCCUGUUACGAGUAAGUGGAGAGGAAAGAUCUCCAGGGAUUCUUAUCUCAUUCCAUUCCAGUGGCUCAACCAGUAACCAAUGGCGAAAACUCAAAAAUCCAUGGUUUCCCGGUAGAACCCUAUUUCGCCCA
rnacentral:lncRNA from 1 species